CCACCUGAGGAGCGUUGCGACGACCGGCAUCCCCGCCAGGCCGCCAGGCUCAGGUAACGGAUCGGCCGCGGCCCGCCAGGGCGGCACCGGUCCACGGCAACGGCGCUCGCCCCAC
rnacentral:ncRNA from 2 species